rnacentral:misc_RNA from 1 species
GUUUGGUUUUUGUCGUUUCUACAUCUAGUUCAGUUUGGUUUGAUUAUAAAUUUUUUUGGAAAUUAAGGUCAUCCAGUUAUGUUCAAAAAUCAUUCGCAAAACGACCAAAUGUUCAAUUACUUGUGAAGGCAGCCUUAAGAGUCAUAGGCACUUUUGCACAUUCUGGUGUUUCUUCUUAGAGAAGCCCAUAAAUUUUCAUGAGUGCACAAGUGACCUGAGGAACAAAUAGUAGUGGGGUUAAUAAUUCAAGUGUCUAUAAAAUUAAGCCUAAUAAAAAC